AAGAAACUCAAGUACACAGAGCAUGUUUGCUCAGGGGUAAUUUUGGGAAAAGAGCUUGUAAAUGCACCUCCCAAUGUACUUACCCCUGGGGUAUCAGCGGAAGAAGCUGAAAAGAUUGCUUCAACAAUCGAUUGUGAUAAGUUAUCUGAUAUAGGUUCCGAGUAUGAAGGGUUUUGGAUUGACACAGCUGAUAAGCAACCUUGCAUUGGUAUGGA